GACAGAGGGUGCAAACGUUGUUCGGAAUUACUGGGCGUAAAGCGCGUGUAGGCGGCUAAGUAAGUCGGGCGUGAAAUCCCACGGCUCAACCGUGGAAGUGCACUCGAAACUGCAUAGCUAGAGUCCUGGAGAGGAAGGUGGAAUGCUUGGUGUAGAGGUGAAAUUCGUAGAUAUCGUAAGGAAGACCAGUGGCGAAGGCGGGUCUCUGGACAGUUCCUGAC
rnacentral:rRNA from 1 species